rnacentral:rRNA from 1 species
UAAACGGCGAAACUGCGAAUGGCUCAUUAAAUCAGUUAUCGUAUAUUUGAUAGUACCUACUACAUGGAUAACCGUGGUAAUUCUAGAGCUAAUACAUGCUUAAAAUCCCGACUUCGGAAGGGAUGUAUUUAUUAGAUUAAAAACCAAUGCCCUUCGGGGCUCACUGGUGAUUCAUAAUAACUUCUCGAAUCGCAUGGCCUUGCGCCGGCGAUGGUUCAUUCAAAUUUCUGCCCUAUCAACUUUCGACGGCUGGGUCUUGGCCAGCCGUGGUUACAACGGGUAACGGAGGGUUAGGGCUUGACCCCGGAGAAGGAGCCUGAGAAACGGCUACUACAUCCAAGGAAGGCAGCAGGCGCGCAAAUUACCCAAUCCCGACUCGGGGAGGUAGUGACAAUAAAUACUGAUACAGGGCUCUUUUGGGUCUUGUAAUUGGAAUGAGUACAAUUUAAAUCCCUUAACGAGGAACAAUUGGAGGGCAAGUCUGGUGCCAGCAGCCGCGGUAAUUCCAGCUCCAAUAGCGUAUAUUAAAGUUGUUGCAGUUAAAAAGCUCGUAGUUGAACCUUGGGCCUGGCUGGCCGGUCUGCCUCACCGCAUGCACUGGUCCGGCCGGGCCUUUCCCUCUGGGGAGCCGCAUGCCCUUCACUGGGUGUGUCGGGGAACCAGGACUUUUACUGUGAAAAAAUUAGAGUGUUCAAAGCAGGCAUAUGCUCGAAUACAUUAGCAUGGAAUAAUAGAAUAGGACGUCGCGGUUCUAUUUUGUUGGUUUCUAGGACCGCCGUAAUGAUUAAUAGGGACAGUCGGGGGCAUCAGUAUUCAAUCGUCAGAGGUGAAAUUCUUGGAUCGAUUGAAGACUAACUACUGCGAAAGCAUUUGCCAAGGAUGUUUUCAUUAAUCAGGAACGAAAGUUAGGGGAUCGAAAACGAUCAGAUACCGUUGUAGUCUUAACCAUAAACUAUGCCGACUAGGGAUCGGGCGGUGUUAUUUCUUGACCCGCUCGGCACCUUACACGAAAGUAAAG